UGAGGAAUAUUGGUCAAUGGGUGCAAGCCUGAACCAGCCAUCCCGCGUGAAGGACGACUGCCCUAUGGGUUGUAAACUUCUUUUGUAUAGGGAUAAACCUACCCUCGUGAGGGUAGCUGAAGGUACUAUACGAAUAAGCACCGGCUAACUCCGUGCCAGCAGCCGCGGUAAUACGGAGGGUGCAAGCGUUAUCCGGAUUUAUUGGGUUUAAAGGGUCCGUAGGCGGACUUAUAAGUCAGUGGUGAAAGCCUGUCGCUUAACGAUAGAACUGCCAUUGAUACUGUAAGUCUUGAGUAUAUUUGAGGUAGCUGGAAUAAGUAGUGUAGCGGUGAAAUGCAUAGAUAGUACUUAGAACACCAAUUGCGAAGGCAGGUUACCAAGAUAUAACUGACGCUGAGGGACGAAAGCGUGGGG
rnacentral:rRNA from 1 species